GAAGCUUACUUGGAUAUUUUUUGGAAGUGCUCUCUCUCUCUCUCUCUCUCUCUCUCUCUCUCUCUCUCUCUCUCUCUCUCUCUCUCUCUCUCUCUCCUACGACUCUCUCUCUUCGAUUCCGGGCUAGUUUUACGCCGGAUCGACAAACCGAAGCCACCACGAUGCUCCUGGCGAAGUUCUCUACAAGUCUGCCGGAGCGGAUCGUCAGGGAAACGAAGUUGGAUUUCAUCCCAAAUCUAAGUUCCAGGGUAUUGAUUGGGAACGUUGGGAAUCAUCCCUAAGUUGAGGGUAUUGAGUUGAGAACCUUGUGGGUACGGGGAAGAUUUUCUUAGGGGCUUUUCAGGAAUCAGGAGCCCCUCAUAGGAGAGCGGGAAAAGCCCCGCUGAUCUAGAUCAGUUGGUUGCCCUCUUUGGAAGGGUAAGUUUUUGGUAGGGACAGUUAGGUUUUGUGGGGAUUGUCCCUAGAUUUCAUUUUUGAGAUGUAUAUACUGUGAGAUAGUAAUUGUAGUGACUCUGGUAUGUGUUAUACACAUUAUGAUGAAAUGUAUAUGAUUUUAUA